CUUUUACAAUGAAGAGUUUGAUCCUGGCUCAGGAUGAACGCUAGCUACAGGCUUAACACAUGCAAGUCGAGGGGCAGCAUUUUAGUUUGCUUGCAAACUGAAGAUGGCGACCGGCGCACGGGUGAGUAACACGUAUCCAACCUGCCGAUAACUCCGGAAUAGCCUUUCGAAAGAAAGAUUAAUACCGGAUAGCAUACGAAUAUCGCAUGAUAUUUUUAUUAAAGAAUUUCGGUUAUCGAUGGGGAUGCGUUCCAUUAGUUUGUUGGCGGGGUAACGGCCCACCAAGACUACGAUGGAUAGGGGUUCUGAGAGGAAGGUCCCCCACAUUGGAACUGAGACACGGUCCAAACUCCUACGGGAGGCAGCAGUGAGGAAUAUUGGUCAAUGGGCGAGAGCCUGAACCAGCCAAGUAGCGUGAAGGAUGAAGGCUCUAUGGGUCGUAAACUUCUUUUAUAUGGGAAUAAAGUUUUCCACGUGUGGAAUUUUGUAUGUACCAUAUGAAUAAGGAUCGGCUAACUCCGUGCCAGCAGCCGCGGUAAUACGGAGGAUCCGAGCGUUAUCCGGAUUUAUUGGGUUUAAAGGGAGCGUAGGUGGAUUGUUAAGUCAGUUGUGAAAGUUUGCGGCUCAACCGUAAAAUUGCAGUUGAAACUGGCAGUCUUGAGUACAGUAGAGGUGGGCGGAAUUCGUGGUGUAGCGGUGAAAUGCUUAGAUAUCACGAAGAACUCCGAUUGCGAAGGCAGCUCACUAGACUGUCACUGACACUGAUGCUCGAAAGUGUGGGUAUCAAACAGGAUUAGAUACCCUGGUAGUCCACACAGUAAACGAUGAAUACUCGCUGUUUGCGAUAUACAGUAAGCGGCCAAGCGAAAGCAUUAAGUAUUCCACCUGGGGAGUACGCCGGCAACGGUGAAACUCAAAGGAAUUGACGGGGGCCCGCACAAGCGGAGGAACAUGUGGUUUAAUUCGAUGAUACGCGAGGAACCUUACCCGGGCUUAAAUUGCAACAGAAUAUAUUGGAAACAGUAUAGCCGUAAGGCUGUUGUGAAGGUGCUGCAUGGUUGUCGUCAGCUCGUGCCGUGAGGUGUCGGCUUAAGUGCCAUAACGAGCGCAACCCUUAUCUUUAGUUACUAACAGGUCAUGCUGAGGACUCUAGAGAGACUGCCGUCGUAAGAUGUGAGGAAGGUGGGGAUGACGUCAAAUCAGCACGGCCCUUACGUCCGGGGCUACACACGUGUUACAAUGGGGGGUACAGAAGGCAGCUACCUGGCGACAGGAUGCUAAUCCCAAAAACCUCUCUCAGUUCGGAUCGAAGUCUGCAACCCGACUUCGUGAAGCUGGAUUCGCUAGUAAUCGCGCAUCAGCCAUGGCGCGGUGAAUACGUUCCCGGGCCUUGUACACACCGCCCGUCAAGCCAUGAAAGCCGGGGGUACCUGAAGUACGUAACCGCAAGGAGCGUCCUAGGGUAAAACUGGUAAUUGGGGCUAAGUCGUAACAAGGUAGCCGUACCGGAAGGUGCGGCUGGAACACCUCCUUUCU
rnacentral:rRNA from 1 species